CUUUAUUCUUUAUUUAUUUGGCAUUCAUCAGCUUUAUUCUUUAUUUAUUUGGUAUCCCGCAACUUUAUUCUUUAUUUACUUGGCAUCCGACUGCUUUAAUCUUGAUUUACUUGGCAUCCGACUGAUUUAUUCUUUAUUUACUUGCCAUGUGAUGCUUUAUUCUUUAUUUAUUUGGCAUCUGACUGCUUUAUUCCUUGUUUACUUGGUGCUUUAUUUUUUAUUUACUUGGCAUGCAACAUCUCUAGUCUUCAUUGACAUAUUGCAUAAGCUGACACAUGAACGUUAUUUGUCUUUUCUACCAUAAAACUAUCAUACCUUGGAAAUAGUAAUCAAGGUACUAAUUACUAAAGUACCAAGUAGAAAGGUAGUCCACUUUUCUUCUGCAAUCAAAUUCUUAUUACGAAUGCUGAACCACAUCCACGAGUCAUUUCAAAUUUGCCUCAACUUCACAACUUCAAGUUGUAUGAUAGAAUUUUAUCUUGAGCUUCUCAUAAAUAUAGUCCAUCGUUUAAUAUGAUCAUAUAGUUUGACUUGGGGACUCAAGUUUUGUAUCGUGAAUUUCACUUAACGUCCUUCACAUUCUCUUGUCCUUUUCUUAUUCAUUGAUACUAAAUCUUUUAAUCAAGUAAGAAGCUGAAACUGUCAUUUCCUUUUGAUUUAUUAUCUUUCAAGAUUUGUGGUACCAUUUCAUGCAUCACUGAUUAAGAGUCAAUUUUAUAAGCCUUAAAAUGAUAUUGAAGUUUAGAGGAUGAACGCUAGAUUGCAUCUACCUUUCCCUUUUUCUAAAAAGAAUGAGAUGAGAGAUAUUUGAACUAUGUAUCCCUAAUAUAAGGGCUUAUGUAACUCAAAGGUUAGAGCAAUGCAUUUUGAUUCCUCUUCUUUUGUGUAUGGUCUAAACAUCGUCUGUCGUGAGCUCACUUGAAUUAUCCUUGGUAGGUCUAAUUUUCUUAGGAACUUUCAACACACUUGGGUCAGACUCCAAGUUAAUGAUGGAUGAUUGGCUAGAUAAGUGGUUUGGCGACACAUAUGUUUUUCGCGAAGGAGUUCUUAUAGGAGUUUGGCCAGUGAGGGUGUUCUUAAAUGUAGGAAUAUGUGGUGGUAAAGUCUAAUUCUCUUGCAAGGAAGUGGCGGAUCAAUUUCAUCAUCAGCAUCAUUGUCAAGCGAAUGAUGUUGUUCUUGGGAUGAUUUGGCAGACGACUCUAAAAUCAAAGUUCUCUUAAUAGGCACCUUUAGCCAAUUUUUAUGUUUUGGCUCAUGGAGAGCUAGGUCCUCUCUGUCUACACCACCCACUUUCCACGUAGUUUGUGUUUUCCUUUUGAGCGGGGCAAUGAUGGAGAUUCUUGGGUUUAUGAACCCUCUCCUUCUUUUGGCGCUUGUGUUUUUAAUCUUUGCGCUUCCUUCUUGUUUUGAUGAACAGUUAGAAUACGAUUCAUACCUGCGAGGUUGUAAUUUCCUGCUGCCAUGUUAGUUUGUGGGAAUCUAGCUAGGGUUGAUAGAUACUUUAGACACAACUUCUCCAAGGUAGAUAGGAAUGAUGUUGCUCCCUUUGAGUUUCUUCGCCAAUCAAGAAUUGCUCUAUUGAUAAUUUCUUCCAGAUUAAACGUCUGCUUUGUCAUGAUAUAAUAGAGAACUAACGCAUAAUCCAAGGGCAUUGUGCUAUCAUAGCAUGUAGGAAGGAUCUUUUUAACGAAAAACACUCAGACUUUUGCCUUGGUUGUCAACUGGUGUAGGAACUGUUGAAGUCUUUCAAUCGGUGUUUUUGUCCACUUAGCCCUUAGCCUUGCGAUUAAUUGGUUAACCUUUUUUGCAUCGCUCCGCAUUGAGCUGUCAAUAAUGCGCUGGUUGGAGUAUGCUUCAGGGUCAUUAAGUAGGUCGUACAACUCAUUAAUCUCUUCCAAAGUGAACGAGGCUUUCUCUCCUUUCACUACGACAUAUGAUUCCUGAGGGUGGAAAUUUGCUGCAUAAAAUAUCUCAACUAGAUCCAACCUUAUCUUUGUUUCACCUAUAAAAAACUUCUCUCAUUUGAGCGCCUUGAUUGGACCGCAGAGAAAGUCGGGUAGUAGCCCAUUAAAAGAUAGCAAUUUUCAAUCUUUAUGAUUUUUUCUAGAUCUUGGGUGUCCAUCAUUUUCCCUUUUUCUAUCAUCCUUAGGUAUGGAUGUCCCUGCCUUGGCUUUUUUCUUUCUAAUUAGAAGCUCGAGUUAUUCAGUUUGCAUUAAUGAUUCCAUACAACUCAUUCUUUCAAUUUCCUGUGUCAGUUCUUCAGCCACAAUAUCCAUGUGGUCAAUUUCCUGUUUUUCUAUCGCUUCAUUUGCAGCGGCCACCCUGUUUACCUACUCGCUUAAGUCUGCGAGGGUAUCAAGUUUUGUCUUCUUAGUGGCUUGCACCUCCGCUAACUUACUCUUCGCUCCUUCUAGGGAGGUGAUACUUUGCUUUUUCUUUGCAGAUAAUUGGCGAAGACGUUCAUCCUGCUCGUGUGCCUUGUCUUUUUCUCUUUUUGUCGCCAUCAUGUGUGUCUUGUGUGCGUACUCUUGUUGUCUUCGCUUCUCAUCCUCCCUGAUUCUUAAUUCUUCUAUCUUUGUCUGAUCCUCUCGCAAGGCCCUCUCCUCAUCUUUCUUAUUUCUUGUUCGCGCAUCCUCUCUUUUCUUUUCUUCUUCCACAAUCCUUUCUUACUAAGCGGCUUGCAGGCUCUUCAAAAAUUUAUUCACUUGACCCUACAGGUGAGACGAGAUUUCCAAGCUUUGGUGGCCUGAAAUUCUUUGGGAUUUAAACCGAACCACAUAUGCAGUCUGCUUUUGAUUCAGUUUGUCAUAAACGUGCGGUUCUGGUCGAUUUUGUAUGAGAUUUUUUUUUUGCAUUUUGUGGUUUUGUUUGAAACCAAACUGUGAACACCUCUAGUAAAAACCAUAGUAUGAUCUGAAAAAUAAUGACAUUGAAGAAGUGUUUGUAUCAACAAAAUUGUUAAUAAAAGUCAAUCCAUGACACAACAAAAGUGUCGUCAAUAACGAAAAUGUUAUAAAAAUAAACUAAUUUGGACUUCAACAAUGACAA